AAGAUAAUUUUGUAUAGUUUUGAGAGAAACUGUCACUUUCUCUGUCAUAAACAAUGACUUCAAUGAGGGCUCAAGUGGGACUUGAUCCAGAUAUGAACAAUGAGGACCAGAGACUUGAGAUCUGGUGAUUCAACUCCAAUACUGAGCUCCUUAGAAUCCCACAUCAACACUUGACAUUGCACUUUAGUGCCCAUGAAUGCUCAUGAUUUUUAAAUUCUUCCCAAUGUUUCAUCAUCUAAAAGACUAAUUUCUAUAAAAGAUGGUUGAAGUUAUCUCUUUUGACCACAGAAACAAAAUCAUAUUUUUCUGUAGGGAUUUUUAAAGCUGUUUUUGAUCUGGUUUACUUUUAGUUGGUUGUGGUCUUGGCAACUCAUACUGGGAAAAAUGAAGCCAGUUCUUGCAGCAUACUGAAGCACAAAAAUAUACCUUCUUUCCAGCAAUAUUUUAGGACCUCAUGCUUGAAUGAAAAACUUUGGCCUUUCCAAGCAACUCAAAUUAAUAAAAAAUGAACAUGUAAAGCCACUCUUAGCCAAAUAUAGUUGGGAAAAAAUGUUUUUAGGUAUUUGAAGCAACUUUGAGUUAGAAAAAGAACGUUUGAUGCAAUUUUCAGAAACUCAAAUUAAAGAGAAACGUAAUCAAACACCAAUUUGAACCAUUUCUAGAGACUUGAGAGCCGUGUUCUAAAAACUCAGUUAACAGCUGUGAAAUAACAGAAAUAUUUUCUCUCAAUAUUUCUAAUGACCCAAAGAAAAAUCUAAAUAUCAGGCAAAUCUUAUCGGUAGGAUCAUAUCUAAUUAUAUAAGAACAAUUACAUGGUGUCUUGUGAUGUCUUCAAUAUUAUAUAUAUGCGUAUGUCUUGGUCGUCAUGUUGGCUUUUGUGUAUUUUUCACUAUCAAGGACACUUCCAACCACCACAUCAGUGACGGGUGUUUUUGUUUGAUGAAAUCUUCUGUAUGGUUUUCACAGUUAAGGCUGCUGAUGGACACCUCAGGUUUUUAUUUUCACUGCGAGGAGUUGGUUGUACAGAGUAUUGUGUUGGAGUCCACUCCAGAGCCGUGUGUUUGCUGUCUUCUGGUGUCAACAGCCAUUUUAGCCUCCCUCUCAGCGUGAAGGGCACCACAUGGCCAGCAAACACAAGCACUUAUUCGGUUUUGACAAGCAGUGCCAGCGAGACCUCAGCCCAACUGUCAGGGAGUGUGUGUUUGUGAGCGAGUGUGUUUUUUGAGAGUCUGCGGAUGUUUUUGUCUGAGGUUUCCAGAGAGAGACUACCGGAUGAGAAUGGUCAAAUACCAGGUAUACUCUACUUUCUUUCUCGCCCAGGGCAAGGUAAGACAUGUUAGCAUUCAUAGACACAAAGCACUAGAGGCCAAAACAGGAAGGAGAAGUGGACAAAUGACAUGCAGAGCACAGUGAACCUCAUUUCGGGGUCAGGAUGGGGGAAGAUGGAGGGAAAGACGGAGUAACAUUUGUUUGUGUGUCUCAGUGUGCGGAUGCUUGUUGUUCUUCCGUUAAAGAGUUGUUAUUUUUCUCUAAGUAUUAUGUAUUCAGCACUAACACUCGACGGCGUGUCACACCAGACAUACAGGGAAGAGAAAAAAGAAAACAGAGAGAGAGACGGAGCGAGACAACUCCUGACAGCCUCUACUUGAUUAGGUUUCACAAUCCAACAAAGCAGAGUUUACUUAUUUACUCUAACAGUCCUCGACACUUCCUGCAAAUUCCUCCAACGUAAAAAAAAAAAAAAAUUUGAACCUCCCCAAAACAAGAGGAGACUCUAUUAUUAUUUUAAUUAUGCUCUUUUUAGUUUCAUUUCCCCCAGCUGAGAGUCAACCGAGGAGCAUGUGAGUGAAUGAGAGAAAAGCGAGUGUGUGUCGAGUGUUUGGAAACACCCAAGUGAUUCUUUCGGCAGGUACAAAAGCUUGUGUGUAGGAAACAGCUUUUAUUAAAGUCAAUACUUAUACAUAUCCCUGCUGCAUAAUUUAUGGCUACUUCUGUAACAUUAGAGCGAACACAGGAGAAUAGCUUCACACACCAGCACGGUUUGGAGUUUUUCAAGGGAAACGGUGUGCAAAAUAUGCCAAAAUCAGGGGAGGAUAAAAUCAAGUGGAAAAGCUUCAAAAAUACUCAAAUACUCAGGCCACUGCAGCACUGUCGAAGUUAUGAGGGUGUCUUUUUGCUGCACGUGGAAUAUGUUUUUGUUCCCAGUUAUUCAUUAUCCUCCAGAUCCCUCCAUAGUGUCUGAAAAUGCCUGUCAUAUUUUAAAUCCUUGGGCACAGAAAUGUAAAUCAUAGAUCUUCAUCGCAGAAGGUACUCGAGAGCAACUGGUACUCAAAAUUUACAACAGACUGUUAAAUCUGAGGGAGGGGGUUCACCUGCUCUUCUCUUUUUUGUACAGUUGAAAAAUGUUUAGAAGUACUUCUCUAUAUAAUUAGAGAUGCCAAAAACAUUAACAGCCACCAUAUAUCUGUUGUCUCAUCUGAUCAUUUUGCUGUGUAGCAGCGAAUAAAUGGUGAAUGUGUUUUUUUUUAUCUUGAGAGUCAGACGUCAUCCUGUGGGGAGUUUUUUCCUGUCAGAUUGAGGACUGGGUACAAUUGAAAUAAUCGUGUAUUCAUUAUAAUUUUUAGAAAUAAGUCAGGAUUUUUAAUUGGGGUUUAUUACAUGUAGGUUUAUAAGGAACUCAUCUGGAUGUUUUUGGUGCAGUACAGUUAAUAUAGAAAAAGAAUUGGAGAACUGAGUAAAACAGCAGCUAUGGAAGAAUAUCAUACAAUUAUGAUUUCAGAUUUUUAUAACAUGUCUGUUUUAUUUAAGGCCUAUUUUUCAAUAUAUAAUUGUGCAUUUUUAGUCACUCAUUUGGAAUAUGUGGUUGUAAAACUCUUUUUGUGAGUUUCUGGCUGGUUGUGACAGAAAUUAAUAUUGAUGCCUUUUUAAGAGCCACAAAAACAAAUGAGACAGUAGACACUAAGACAGCCUAUUUCUGUAUUUGACUUUUAUUUCUCUAACCUCUGCCACAGGAUUUUUUUUUUUACUUUCUUUUGACAGGGCAGCUCAAUCGAGGAUAUUAAAAGAAAUAUGGGGAGUAAAGGGUGGGGGUAGACAUGCAGCAAAGGGUUGUAGCUG
rnacentral:lncRNA from 1 species